rnacentral:rRNA from 1 species
AUUGAACGCUGGCGGCAUGCCUUACACAUGCAAGUCGAACGGUAACGCGGGGCAACCUGGCGAUGAGUGGCGAACGGGUGAGUAAUGCAUCGGAACGUGCCCAGAAGUGGGGGAUAGCCCGGCGAAAGCCGGAUUAAUACCGCAUGAGACCUGAGGGUGAAAGCGGGGGAUCGCAAGACCUCGCGCUUUUGGAGCGGCCGAUGUCAGAUUAGCUAGUUGGUGGGGUAAAGGCCUACCAAGGCGACGAUCUGUAGCUGGUCUGAGAGGACGACCAGCCACACGGGGACUGAGACACGGCCAAGACUCCUACGGGAGGCAGCAGUGGGGAAUUUUGGACAAUGGGCGCAAGCCUGAGCCAGCCAUGCCGCGUGCGGGAAGAAGGCCUUCGGGUUGUAAACCGCUUUUGUCAGGGAAGAAACGCUCUGGGCUAAUACCCUGGGGUAAUGACGGUACCUGAAGAAUAAGCACCGGCUAACUACGUGCCAGCCGCCGCAGUAA